rnacentral:lncRNA from 1 species
UUUUAAUUUGAUUGUCGUGGUAGUGUGCAAUUUCUCAUUAGUCUUUUAUGGCCCAAGCUCUUAUCGAUUAUCAGCCAACCAACUACGCGAAUUCCACCGAAAUCUCCGACAAAGCUUCCAAUUACACUCUUUUUCGGCUCCUAAUGGCGGACAUCCCUGAGUCGGUGGCAGACACGUACAUAAGCACGUCAGCCUCACAUCAUAUUUCGGCCGAUUAUUACCUAAAUUGGACGGUAUUUCGGCGAAAUCUU